rnacentral:lncRNA from 1 species
UCCUUCUCUCUCUUAAGCCGCGCCGCCGUGUCCUCCAGUUCCAGCAACGCUUGCUGCUCUCUCGGCGCCCCUUCGAAAGUGCUCCCAACGAAAAACGAAAACGGCGUCGGAAACAGGUUCCGCCGCAGGUCCUGCACAUCCUUCUCCGGCUUCCCGCCCAACCGAUUUGACAACCGAAUCACAUCCUUCAUAUACGACUCGACCUCGCUGGCCAACGCCUCCAGGUCCUCCUCGCCGUCGUUCGACGGCCGGUCUUCGAGCCAUUUGACCUCGGCCACCAGGUAAGGUUUGGUACGGACGAGGUCGGUGACCCGGAACCGCUCCUGGCCUUUGCAGAUAAGGAAGAACCGGUCGUCGACGAGGCGCUCGUGCUUGACGACCUCGCCGACGCAGCCAACGUCGGCGGUGCCGGAGACGGCAUCAUUGUAGAUAACCCCGAAUCGGAGAUCGGUCUGGAGGAGGGAGUGCAUCAUGAUACGGUAGCGGAACUCGAAGAUCUGAAGUGGGAGGAUGGCGCCGGGGAAGAGGACGAGGGGGAGGGGGAAGAUGGGGAGCUCGACGACGUCGUCUGAUUUGGGCUGAUUGGUGGGGUGGCGCUCAGAGAAUGAGGAGGCGGAGCAUCUGAGGGAGCCAGGUCGUUGGCGGCGGCGGCGGAGAUGGGGGGAGAGGAAAUUAGGGUUCGGGUUUAAGGGGGAGGGGAUGGGAUUGGGGUUGAAGGUGGGUUUAUGGGGGAGGGAGGAGGAGGAAGGGGAGGGGAUGAGCUGAGGUAGAGCCAUUGGAGUGGUGUUUGGGAGGAGGAGGAGAGAGAAAGUAGUCAGAUUGCCAUGUUUUUCUGGAAAGAGUGAGUGAGAGUGGGAGUGACUAAUUUUUUUUUUCUGGUUUUCUGUUUCUCUCCCUCUAAAUUUUUAGAAAAUGUGGAAAAAUCUGGUGGCUUUGAGGCAGCGAAGGAGAAGUGGAUAAUA